CAGGUGGCUGGGCUACCUGGGCCUGCUGCUGCUGGACGUCAUCAUCUGCCUCCUGGUGCUGGUUGGCCUCAUCCGCAGCUCCAAGGGCAUCCUGGUGGGGUGAGUCUGGGGGUGUCGGCCCCCCGUGGGCCCAAAGCGGAGGGGCAGGGCAAGGCACCAUGUUACCCCUUCCCCCACCUCAUCUGCAGAUCCUAGCCACAAGCUCUGCGGUGGGGGCUGAGCGGGACCCCCCUGCACUGGGCCUGCUCUGAGAUGCCCCUUCUGUGCCUGUGGCCUGUGCCCCUGUGGCCAGCAUCCCAGCACACUUGCCCCCAGCCCUUGAUUUCCUGCAAGAGUCUGCACGUGGGGCACUUGUAGCCCAGGACCUGAAGCAACCUGCCCAGGUCUCCGAGUGCCUGGGGCCACCCAGAGACCAGGCUGGGGCUCCUUCCUCCACCCCUUCCAUCCUUGGCCCUGGGGCAGCCUGGGUUCCAGCCCCAGCUCCGGCUCACUAGGAGGGUGACCUUGGGCAGGUGGCUUAUUGUUGCUGGGCCUUGGUCUCCUCGUUUGGAAGGCAGAGAGAGCGGCAGCUCCUCUGUGGGAGGGUCUGCCUGCUGGGAGUCCUGGCCCUGGUCAUCAGCUGGGGCGCGCUGGGCUUGGAGCUGGCUGUGUCCGUGGGCUCCAGCGACUUCUGUGUGGACCCUGACGCCUACGUGACCAAAAUGGUGGAGGAGUACUCGGUGCUGAGUGGG
rnacentral:lncRNA from 10 species